GACGAACGCUGGCGGCGUGCUUAACACAUGCAAGUCGAACGGUAAGGCCUUCGGGUACACGAGUGGCGAACGGGUGAGUAACACGUGGGUGAUCUGCCCUGCACUUUGGGAUAAGCCUGGGAAACUGGGUCUAAUACCGAAUACACCCUGCUGGCUGCAUGGCCUGGUGGGGGAAAGCUUUUGCGGUGUGGGAUGGGCCCGCGGCCUAUCAGCUUGUUGGUGGGGUGAUGGCCUACCAAGGCGACGACGGGUAGCCGGCCUGAGAGGGUGACCGGCCACACUGGGACUGAGAUACGGCCCAGACUCCUACGGGAGGCAGCAGUGGGGAAUAUUGCACAAUGGGCGCAAGCCUGAUGCAGCGACGCCGCGUGGGGGAUGACGGCCUUCGGGUUGUAAACCUCUUUCAGUGCCGACGAAGCGCAAGUGACGGUAGGCACAGAAGAAGGACCGGCCAACUACGUGCCAGCCGCCGCCGUAA
rnacentral:rRNA from 1 species